AUUGGCGGCGAGAAGCAAGACAAGAAGAGGACGCGCUUACGGCCUGGAGCUGGCUGGCUGGCUUUCCUGAUCUGAAGGUCGGAGAGCUACCCGAGGCCCCUUCCCCUCAGGGGGCGCAGAUCCUGGUUUCCAGCAGGAAAUAGAAAUGGAAGGGGUCCGGCGUCAGGAGGACUACAGCCCGGGAGCGGUCUCCUAGGCCACCCUCGGAGCUGAACAAGCCAUAUUUCCUGAAACCGAGGAGCUAUAAAAACUGAAAAAGGUGUUGCUCUAACACAACCUGAGAACAUCUAAGGAAGGUAAGUCCAAAGUAUUAUUUUUAUAGUAAAAUGACAUACUAUUUUGAAGUUGAAUUAAACUUUAGAGUUAUUCUCAUAUAUUAGUUCUUUGGAUGACAUUUUUCUUCUUGGUUGGCAUUCUGUGUUAAGAUUUCCUUGGGCAUUCUAUUUCUGGCUGUUAAAAUGUCUAAACUAUAGGAGAAAUUUUCAGUUAUUAAAUAGUGCUUUCAUAAAAUCAGAAGUAUCUUAAUUUUAAAAUAUCAUACUCAUAGUGAGUGUGAUUAACAAAAACAACUGUAUUGAGACUUGAGGAAGAGGUUACAAAUUUACCUUCCUAAUUAGUAGCCCCCCAACAUUCUGAACUUUAGGCUUUGCAUCUUUCUCUCACACCUUGACCAUGUUGUUAAAUUAGCCCUGCUCCUUGUGCUGUAUGCAUGUGGUAAAAUUCCAUCUGAAUACUUCAAGGGUGCUUGAGAGGUAUUGUAGAUAUUUUCAACAGCAAGUCUGAUAAGCUGCUAGAUUUGGUAGUUAAUAGGACUUUACAUUUUUUUUCGUCUUUUUGCCAUUUCUUGGGCCGCUCUAGCGGCCUAUGGAGGUUCCCAGGCUAGGGGUCGAAUCCGAGCCAUAGCCGCUGGCCUAUGCCAGAGCCACAGCAACUCAGGAUCCGAGCCGCAUCUGCAACCUACACCACAGCUCACCGCAACGCCAGAUCAUUAACCCACUGAACAAGUCCAGGGAUCCAACCCGCAACCUCUUGGUUCCUAGUCGGAUUCGUUAACCACUGCGCCACCAUGGGAACUCCAGGACUUUACAUUUUUAAUCUGCUCUCCAAUGAUUUACCUUCUUCUGUGGGUUUUUUCAUGCCCUUCGGUUGCUCGUGUUUUGCUGGGUAUUGCCACUCAUCAGGCAUCUCUUCUGUGUGCAUCGUGGCUGCUUCUUUUGGAUACAGCUGAAGAUGAAUGUACUGGGAACACGGAGAUGCCACUCUGCACUGUUCAUGGUUGAUUAUCUGCUAUAUACUCCAUCAGAGGGUUCCAAAAUGGUCUGCAGAAGUUCUGUCAAUAGUUUUAAUAUAAAAAGGUAUUUUCAUUUUUGUUUAUGGCCCUCUGUCUCCUGAGAACAUAGCUUUGAAUCCACAGUACUCUGAGUUAGGGCUGAUCCCAAUCUCAGAAACUAUGGUUCAUUCAGAAUUACUUCUCUAAGCACCAAGACUUUGUUUCAAGAUCAAGCUACCUAAUCUUCUCUUUGUUUAAGAUAAUAAGUUUACUCCCAGGAGGUUUCCCAGUCUUUCAUGUAAAAUAGAUUUCAGGUGGUUGUUUUCCUGUUCUUUCAAAAUUGCUCAGAUAUGUUUGAAUCCCAGUGAUGGAAACAGCUUAGACUGUAUAUUUAGGAAAUAGUUGGGACUAUUCCCUUUCCCAAUAAAUUCAAUCAGAAUCAGAUCUAUAUACACACUAUGAAUUACCAUGUUGGCAGAUGAAAACUUUGCUGAGCUUAACAAAUACCUUUUUAAUGUUUAAACAAUUUUUAAUAAGAAUGCCAUCCAUCUGUUGAAAGCCAAACAAUAAAUUGUGAACAGAAAAUGGAAUAGCCAAUGCAUGGAUAAGUUACUCUUUGUACUUAAACUUAGCUAAUUGUCAACAGAUUGAUAUCCACACAGUCUGAGACAAACCUCUCAAGAUCAGAUUAAGGCAUUUUUGAUCUUUUUCUUUUGUUUUCUUUUCUUUCUCUCCUUCCUUCCUUCUUUCUUUCUUUCUUUUUUAGUGUGCCAUUCACCAUUUCAUAGGAGAGCAUGGUGCUUCUUUAUAGGAGAAGUUGGGUAGCAUCUUGUAUAGCAUCAGGUCGCAUGUUCUCUAAUGGGGAGGUUAAGGAAAUUAUGUAAAAUGACUACAUAAUACAAGGUAAGUAGUAUUACUGAAGUAUAGGGAGUGAUCAAGUAAUGUCAAAUAUAAUAUGUAGCUUAAAAGACAUGCCAAUAAAUUGUUUUAGGCUGUUCAAAGAUGGGCAAGAUAACAUCAGAAACUGUGAAAGAUUAUAUUCAAAGCAACAAUAUUUAGGCCAGCAGCAUACUUCUCAGCGUUAACAGGUGACAUUUGAAGGUAAAGGAGUAAUAUUUUGAAAGGGCUGAAAGAAAAUAAUUGCAACUUGGAAUGCCAUACCCAGCUAAGCUGUUAUUUAAAAGUGAGGGCUAGGAGUUCCCUGUGGUACAGUGGGUAUAGAAUCUGGCAUUGUUACUGCAACAGCUUAGGUUGCUCCUGUGGCCUGGGUUUGAUCCCUGGCCAGGGAACUUCUGCAUGCUGUUGGCACGGCCAAAAAAAAUAAUGGCAACAUAAGGGGGGAAGGGACAAAAAAAAAUUUUCAGACAAAAAGGUAUGGGAAUUUAUUACUCACCUUUGAUAAUUAUAAUAGGAGUUAUAGGAGAUACAGGAAGAAGUCUCUUAAACCUCGAAGGAAAGAGUAGACAGCAAGAAAAAAUAGUGCAUAAAAAGGUUGACUAUCAGAGUUCCUGUUGUGGCUCAGUGCUUAUGAAUCUGACUAGUAUCCAUGAGGAUGCGGGUUCAAUCCCUGGCCUUACCCAGUGGGUUAAGGAUCUGGCAUUGCCAUGAGCUGUGGUGUAGGUCGCAGAUAUGGCUAGGAUCUAGUAUUGCUGUGACUGUGGUGUAGGCCGGCAGCUGAAGCUCCGAUUCAGCCCCUAGCCUGGGAACUUCCAUAUGCCGCAGAUGUAGGCCUAAGAAGCAAACAAGACAAACAAACAAACAAAAAAGAGGUUGAUUAUCAUUGGAGUUCCCUGGGUCAGUGGAUUAAGGAUCUGGCAUUGUCACUGCUAUGGCACGGGUUUGAUCCCUGGCUUGCGGGAAGUCCUGCAUGCUGUGGGUACAGACAAAAAAAAAAAAAAAAAAAAAAAAAAA
rnacentral:lncRNA from 1 species